GGUAAGUUACCGGGACAUCUCGUCCUGGGGCGUCUUGCCAAACGGCCUCCGGAUGCACGGAGGGGGCCUGCUCGCACCCUAUCGUGGUGCUCUUGACCGAGUGUCUCGAUGGGCAGACACGUUUACUUUGAACAAAUUAGAGUGCUCAAAGCAGGCAUAUUUCGCCUGAAUAUUCAGUGCAUGGAAUAAUGGAAGAUGACCUCGGUUCUAUUUUGUUGGUUUUCGGAAUAUCCGAGGUAAUGGUCAAUAGGGACAGACGUGGCCAUUCGUAUUGCGACGUUAGAGGUGAAAUUCUUGGAUCGUCGCAAGACGGACAGAAGCGAAGGCAUUUGCCAAAAAUGUUUUCAUUAAUCAAGAACGAAAGUUAGAGGUUCGAAAGGCGAUCAGAUACCGCCCUAGUUCUAACCAUAAACGAUGCCAGCUAGCGAUCCGCCGAAGUUCCUCCGAUGACUCGGCGGGCAGCUUCCGGGAAACCAAAGCUUUUGGGUUCCGGGGGAAGUAUGGUUGCAAAGCUGAAACUUAAAGGAAUUGACGGAAGGGCACCACCAGGAGUGGAGCCUGCGGCUUAAUUUGACUCAACACGGGAAACCUCACCAGGCCCAGACACCGGAAGGAUUGACAGAUUGAUAGCUCUUUCUUGAUUCGGUGGGUGGUGGUGCAUGGCCGUUCUUAGUUGGUGGAGCGAUUUGUCUGGUUAAUUCCGAUAACGAACGAGACUCUAGCCUGCUAAAUAGGCGUACCUUAUGGUAUCGCGAAGGCCCCCGGCUUCGGCCGGUGGGUUUUUACUACCAACGUACAAACAAAUCUUCUUAGAGGGACAGGCGG
rnacentral:rRNA from 1 species